UACGUAGGGUGCGAGCGUUAAUCGGAAUUACUGGGCGUAAAGUGUGCGCAGGCGGUUCGGUAAGUCGGGGGUGAAAUCCUGGAGCUCAACUCCAGAACUGCCUUCGAUACUGAAAGACUUGAGUCCGGAAGAGGUGAGUGGAACUGCGAGUGUAGAGGUGAAAUUCGUAGAUAUUCGCAAGAACACCAGUGGCGAAGGCGGCUCACUGGUCCGGUACUGACGCUGAGGUGCGAAAGCGUGGGGAGCAAACAGG
rnacentral:rRNA from 1 species